CUGUCUCUCUUCCUUGUUGCGGUGAAGCAGGUCGGACGUGCUGCUGCAGAGAGACAGAAAACCAACGUGAAGCUUCUCUAAAGGAUUUAAGAGCCUGGACUGGAUGCAUCUUGAUAAGGUAAAGGGAAUGCUACAUGAACAAUGUCACAGCUGGAUCAGAUUUGCUGCCUCAAAAUAAGGAAUUAUUUUAAUCAACAUGCACAUUUAUAAGAUCUGCAUUCUUAGACUAUUAUUGUGACUCUGUAUGUAUAAACACUGAAAUUCACUGGUACAUAAAGCUUAUUGAGUUAAACUGUGUAUUGUCUAUUUGAUUUGCAUUUUAUGUAGAGGUUGUAAAUUAGAUUACAGAAUAUGCAGAAAUUCAUCAGUAGUUGGAUAUUACUAUAAAUCUAAGUAAUGGCACAUGGUGACGUUAUAAUGGGAGAAAAGCUGCAUGAUGUCAGCAGGAACCAUUUCUAUAAGCAUUUUAAUAAACA